GCCGGGCAUGGUGGUGCACACCUGUAAUCCCAGCAGCUCAGGAGGCUGAGACAGGAGGAUUACAAGUUCAAAGCCAGCCUCAGCAAAGGCGAGGCACUAAGCAAUUCAGUGAGACCCUGUCUCUA
rnacentral:sRNA from 1 species